rnacentral:rRNA from 1 species
UGGGGAAUUUUGGACAAUGGGCGAAAGCCUGAUCCAGCAAUGCCGCGUGUGUGAAGAAGGCCUUCGGGUUGUAAAGCACUUUUGUCCGGAAAGAAAUCCUUGGCUCUAAUACAGUCGGGGGAUGACGGUACCGGAAGAAUAAGCACCGGCUAACUACGUGCCAGCAGCCGCGGUAAUACGUAGGGUGCAAGCGUUAAUCGGAAUUACUGGGCGUAAAGCGUGCGCAGGCGGUUUGCUAAGACCGAUGUGAAAUCCCCGGGCUCAACCUGGGAACUGCAUUGGUGACUGGCAGGCUAGAGUAUGGCAGAGGGGGGUAGAAUUCCACGUGUAGCAGUGAAAUGCGUAGAGAUGUGGAGGAAUACCGAUGGCGAAGGCAGCCCCCUGGGCCGAUACUGACGCUCAUGCACGAAAAGCGUGGGGAGCAAAACAGGAUUAGAUACCCUGGUAGUCCACGCCCUAAAACGAUGUCAACUAGUUGUUGGGGAUUCAUUUCCUUAGUAACGUAGCUAACGCGUGAAGUUGACCGCCUGGGGAGUACGGUCGCAAGAUUAAAAACUCAAAUGAAUUGACGGGGUCAUAGCUGUUUCCU